AGCAUGUGGUUUAAUUCGAAGCAACGCGAAGUAACCUUACCAGGUCUUGACAUCCCGAUGCUAUUCUAGAGAUAGAAAGUUACUUCGGUACAUCGGUGACAGGUGGUGCAUGGGUUGUCGUCAGCUCGUGUCGUGAGAUGUUGGGUUAAGUCCGCUAACGAGCGCAACCCUCGUCGUAUGUUAUAUGUGUCAUACGAGACUGCCGGUAAAAGCCGGAGGAAGGUGAGGAUGAUGUCAAGUCAGCAUGACCUUUAUAUCCAGGGCUACACACACGCUACAAUGGUCUGUACAAUGGGUAGCCAAGCCGCGAGGCGGAGCCAAUCCUGAAAGCAGGCCUCAGUUCAGAUUGCAGUCUGCAACUCGACUGCAUGAAGCCGGAGUUGCUAGUAACCGCAGGUCAGCAAUACUGCGGUGAAUACGUUCCCGGGUCUU
rnacentral:rRNA from 1 species